UACGGAGGGUGCGAGCGUUGUCCGGAAUCACUGGGCGUAAAGGGCGCGUAGGUGGCGCGGGUAGUCGUCGGUGAAAGCUCAGGGCUCAACCCUGAGUCGGCCGGUGAUACUCCCGUGCUUGAGUGUGGUAGAGGCCAAUGGAAUUCCGGUGUGCGGUGGAAUGUGUAGAGAUCGGGAGGAACACCGGUGGCGAAGGCGGCAUCCUGGACCAACACUGACGCUGAGUGAGCGAAAGCCAGGGGAGCAAACGGG
rnacentral:rRNA from 1 species